GAUGAAGAACGCAGCAAAAUGCGAUAAGUAAUGUGAAUUGCAGAAUUCAGUGAAUCAUCGAAUCUUUGAACGCACAUUGCGCCCUCUGGUAUUCCGGGGGGCAUGCCUGUUCGAGCGUCAUUAUAACCACUCAAGCUCUCGCUUGGUAUUGGGGCUCGCGGUUCCGCGGCCCCUAAAAUCAGUGGCGGUGCCUGUCGGCUCUACGCGUAGUAAUACUCCUCGCGAUUGAGUCCGGUAGGUCUACUUGCCAACAACCCCCAAUUUUUACAGGUUGACCUCGGAUCAGGUAGGGAUACCCGCUGAACUUAAGCAUAUCAAUAAGCGGGGA
rnacentral:misc_RNA from 1 species